AUGCAGGCUUUGGUCUGUCUAAACCCUACAGAGGAAUAUGAUCUGCAACAAUGUAACUCUCCUUUUGAUUCUCUUUGGGAGUUCAGAUAUCUACAGAUUCAAUGGCAAAGAAAUAUAUGUGCCUUGAGAAAACUUGUGCACUUCUUGGAGUUGAUGAGAGGUUUUGUCUGUGGAAGGACUUCAGCAUCAGGACUUGGUUUACCAAACGGAAGUCACACCAUAAAAAAUGUAACAGCUGUAUAUACUCUGAAGAUCCUCAAUAAUUGCACUGCAGUAUGAGCAAGAGAGAGAACAAGUGGCACACCCAAUGUGAGCUAGCAGGAAUAACGGUAGAUUUCAUGGUCGUGACAUCACCACCAGGUAAUGUUUAAUGGCUGUAAUGUUAGCAUCAUAAAAUCCAACCAAGAAAAUUGCACUCUAUACAGUGUAUUGCUAUCACACAAAAAUGAAAAUGUGCAGAGAAAUGGGUUCCUGGGCUAAAUUCAGAUCUGGUGUAAAUGUCUGCCACUCCAUUAAAGCCAAUGAAACUGCACACUGUUCCACCAUUUCUGAAUCUGUCCUCUUGACUCUACAGGUACAAUUCACAAAUAAGAACCUCUAAUCCCAUACACUGUCAGAAUGCAAUUUCUGCUCUUGUAAACUGCAUAAAAGUCACACACUACUUCAAAAAAUAAUUGCUUAACUCCCAUUAUAGUAAUCACAACUAAUCCCCAAAACAAUGUCAACAUGCACUUCUAUUUUUUUUAAAAUCUCAUCUGCAUUGUCAACCAGUUUCCUCGGUCUCUUUCUACAUCUGAAGAUUUGAGACCUAAAUGGUAACCCCUUUGCUUCCUGUUACAGUGUGAUCAUGGUCAUGUAUAUUUUUCACACACAUACACCCCAGUUAAAUAUGCCAGUUUUAAAAUCACAGGAAUCCCAUUUUCUGCUUCCAGGGUCAUUAAGUAAGAUAUGACAACUACAAGCCCAAAAAUUCACCAGUUCCAUUCCCCGGAACCUUACUGCAUAAUUUAGACCGAUAUCACGUCAAAUAAUAAAUGCUGACUAUGGUGAGUAGGAAGAAAAAAU
rnacentral:lncRNA from 1 species